AAGCCGCAGCUACGUCCGUAGGAAAGUGGAGCGCCUGCACCACUCGCAGCCAUCGAAAUAAGGCGACGUCCAGCUCGUCCGGAUGCAAUAGACGGCCAGGUAUGGCGUCACGUCUCGCCUUAUUGAGCCAUCGCCGACACCAUGCCGUAACCCGCAGCAGCCUGUGCAGCGUUGGAAAUCGGAGGAGGAGGUCAGGUUCUGCCGAGACCGGUGCCUUGAUUACCAGACCGGUGGCUCGCUGCUCCGGGAGGUCAUCCUCUGGGACGUCGAUGUUUGAACCCGGCCAUGCAGUCUCGUCUCCUGAGAGCCAGGAUUCUCUCGUCCAGCGACGUGUCUCCAUUGAGCGUCUGGAAGCAGGGUCUGGAUCUGAGAUACUCGGUUGGCGACGAAGGUUUUCCAACGAGUGCUGUGUCCGCGGAUCCAAUGAAGUGUGACCCUUGAAUCUGACCACAGAUGCACCGGCGUCGUUGUCAAACCGAGAGUAGCGCGCACGUGGAGCAUGAGCGUGCGUUGCGGAUGUACACCACGGCGGCGUAUCCUCGCUCUGAAGCGUCGGCAAACCCAUGGAGCUGCAGUUGCGAAUGGUCGUCCCCGGUGUUGAGCCAGCGAG